rnacentral:rRNA from 1 species
GGGUUGUGAGGUUAAGCGACUAAGCGUACACGGUGGAUGCCCUGGCAGUCAGAGGCGAUGAAGGACGUGCUAAUCUGCGAUAAGCGUCGGUAAGGUGAUAUGAACCGUUAUAACCGGCGAUUUCCGAAUGGGGAAACCCAGUGUGUUUCGACACACUAUCAUUAACUGAAUCCAUAGGUUAAUGAGGCGAACCGGGGGAACUGAAACAUCUAAGUACCCCGAGGAAAAGAAAUCAACCGAGAUUCCCCCAGUAGCGGCGAGCGAACGGGGAGCAGCCCAGAGCCUGAAUCAGUAUGUGUGUUAGUGGAAGCGUCUGGAAAGGCGCGCGAUACAGGGUGACAGCCCCGUACACAAAAAUGCACAUGCUGUGAGCUCGAUGAGUAGGGCGGGACACGUGGUAUCCUGUCUGAAUAUGGGGGGACCAUCCUCCAAGGCUAAAUACUCCUGACUGACCGAUAGUGAACCAGUACCGUGAGGGAAAGGCGAAAAGAACCCCGGCGAGGGGAGUGAAAAAGAACCUGAAACCGUGUACGUACAAGCAGUGGGAGCACGCUUAGGCGUGUGACUGCGUACCUUUUGUAUAAUGGGUCAGCGACUUAUAUUCUGUAGCAAGGUUAACCGAAUAGGGGAGCCGAAGGGAAACCGAGUCUUAACUGGGCGUUAAGUUGCAGGGUAUAGACCCGAAACCCGGUGAUCUAGCCAUGGGCAGGUUGAAGGUUGGGUAACACUAACUGGAGGACCGAACCGACUAAUGUUGAAAAAUUAGCGGAUGACUUGUGGCUGGGGGUGAAAGGCCAAUCAAACCGGGAGAUAGCUGGUUCUCCCCGAAAGCUAUUUAGGUAGCGCCUCGUGAAUUCAUCUCCGGGGGUAGAGCACUGUUUCGGCAAGGGGGUCAUCCCGACUUACCAACCCGAUGCAAACUGCGAAUACCGGAGAAUGUUAUCACGGGAGACACACGGCGGGUGCUAACGUCCGUCGUGAAGAGGGAAACAACCCAGACCGCCAGCUAAGGUCCCAAAGUCAUGGUUAAGUGGGAAACGAUGUGGGAAGGCCCAGACAGCCAGGAUGUUGGCUUAGAAGCAGCCAUCAUUUAAAGAAAGCGUAAUAGCUCACUGGUCGAGUCGGCCUGCGCGGAAGAUGUAACGGGGCUAAACCAUGCACCGAAGCUGCGGCAGCGACACUAUGUGUUGUUGGGUAGGGGAGCGUUCUGUAAGCCUGUGAAGGUGUACUGUGAGGUAUGCUGGAGGUAUCAGAAGUGCGAAUGCUGACAUAAGUAACGAUAAAGCGGGUGAAAAGCCCGCUCGCCGGAAGACCAAGGGUUCCUGUCCAACGUUAAUCGGGGCAGGGUGAGUCGACCCCUAAGGCGAGGCCGAAAGGCGUAGUCGAUGGGAAACAGGUUAAUAUUCCUGUACUUGGUGUUACUGCGAAGGGGGGACGGAGAAGGCUAUGUUGGCCGGGCGACGGUUGUCCCGGUUUAAGCGUGUAGGCUGGUUUUCCAGGCAAAUCCGGAAAAUCAAGGCUGAGGCGUGAUGACGAGGCACUACGGUGCUGAAGCAACAAAUGCCCUGCUUCCAGGAAAAGCCUCUAAGCAUCAGGUAACAUCAAAUCGUACCCCAAACCGACACAGGUGGUCAGGUAGAGAAUACCAAGGCGCUUGAGAGAACUCGGGUGAAGGAACUAGGCAAAAUGGUGCCGUAACUUCGGGAGAAGGCACGCUGAUAUGUAGGUGAAGUCCCUCGCGGAUGGAGCUGAAAUCAGUCGAAGAUACCAGCUGGCUGCAACUGUUUAUUAAAAACACAGCACUGUGCAAACACGAAAGUGGACGUAUACGGUGUGACGCCUGCCCGGUGCCGGAAGGUUAAUUGAUGGGGUCAGCGCAAGCGAAGCUCUUGAUCGAAGCCCCGGUAAACGGCGGCCGUAACUAUAACGGUCCUAAGGUAGCGAAAUUCCUUGUCGGGUAAGUUCCGACCUGCACGAAUGGCGUAAUGAUGGCCAGGCUGUCUCCACCCGAGACUCAGUGAAAUUGAACUCGCUGUGAAGAUGCAGUGUACCCGCGGCAAGACGGAAAGACCCCGUGAACCUUUACUAUAGCUUGACACUGAACAUUGAGCCUUGAUGUGUAGGAUAGGUGGGAGGCUUUGAAGUGUGGACGCCAGUCUGCAUGGAGCCGACCUUGAAAUACCACCCUUUAAUGUUUGAUGUUCUAACGUGGACCCGUAAUCCGGGUUGCGGACAGUGUCUGGUGGGUAGUUUGACUGGGGCGGUCUCCUCCUAAAGAGUAACGGAGGAGCACGAAGGUUGGCUAAUCCUGGUCGGACAUCAGGAGGUUAGUGCAAUGGCAUAAGCCAGCUUGACUGCGAGCGUGACGGCGCGAGCAGGUGCGAAAGCAGGUCAUAGUGAUCCGGUGGUUCUGAAUGGAAGGGCCAUCGCUCAACGGAUAAAAGGUACUCCGGGGAUAACAGGCUGAUACCGCCCAAGAGUUCAUAUCGACGGCGGUGUUUGGCACCUCGAUGUCGGCUCAUCACAUCCUGGGGCUGAAGUAGGUCCCAAGGGUAUGGCUGUUCGCCAUUUAAAGUGGUACGCGAGCUGGGUUUAGAACGUCGUGAGACAGUUCGGUCCCUAUCUGCCGUGGGCGCUGGAGAAUUGAGGGGGGCUGCUCCUAGUACGAGAGGACCGGAGUGGACGCAUCACUGGUGUUCGGGUUGUCAUGCCAAUGGCACUGCCCGGUAGCUAAAUGCGGAAGAGAUAAGUGCUGAAAGCAUCUAAGCACGAAACUUGCCCCGAGAUGAGUUCUCCCUGACUCCUUGAGAGUCCUGAAGGAACGUUGAAGACGACGACGUUGAUAGGCCGGGUGUGUAAGCGCAGCGAUGCGUUGAGCUAACCGGUACUAAUGAACCGUGAGGCUUAACCUUACAACGCCGAAGCUGUU